AAACAAGAGAGUUUGAUCCUGGCUCAGGAUGAACGCUGGCGGCGUGCUUAACACAUGCAAGUCGAACGGAGUUAUCGAGUUAGAAGUGAAUAGCUUGCUAGGAGCGGAAGAGUUGAUAACUUAGUGGCGGACGGGUGAGUAACGCGUGGGUAACCUGCCGUAUACAGGGGGAUAACACUUAGAAAUAGGUGCUAAUACCGCAUAAGCGCACGAAAGCGCAUGCUUUUGUGUGAAAAACUCCGGUGGUAUACGAUGGACCCGCGUCUGAUUAGCCAGUUGGCAGGGUAACGGCCUACCAAAGCGACGAUCAGUAGCCGGCCUGAGAGGGCGGACGGCCACAUUGGGACUGAGACACGGCCCAAACUCCUACGGGAGGCAGCAGUGGGGAAUAUUGCACAAUGGGGGAAA
rnacentral:rRNA from 1 species